rnacentral:rRNA from 1 species
AGUUAUAUAUGCCUGACAGUUGGUUUAUCAGCUUGUUAGACAGGUGCAUUUCUCAGAGAUCGCAUCAAAGGUGUUGCUGAUGUCGCGUGGACUGUGGGUAGAAGGCUUGCUGUUUCGGCAGGAAGUGUCUUCGCUCUCAGCUCUGCAUGCGGUCGUUGGUAACAUGAUGAGGAAAGUGCUUGACUGAAGUCUCGUUGGCUGCUUUCAUUGUUGCUGGAUGGGCCUUUUGUUGAUCUUCAACUUGGUCCUUCAGUAGCAGUGUCUGUAGACGGUGAGCAGUGCUUGGGCUUUGAUGUUUUGUCUGUUACCCAUCCGACCCGUCUUGAAACACGGACCAAGGCAGUCUAACCAUGGGCGCAAGUCAUUGGGUUGUCAAACCUAAAGGCGUAAUGAAAGUAAAGAGUGACUUCAAGUCAUUUGAUAUGUGAUCCUUGCCUUGGCCUUGGCGCAACAUAGUCCCGGUCCAUCUGCAUUGUCAGUGGAGCGGAGAUAGAGCGUGCUUGUUGGGACC